rnacentral:rRNA from 1 species
UAGUCAUAUGCUUGUCUCAAAGAUUAAGCCAUGCAUGUCUAAGUAUAAACAAAUUCAUACUGUGAAACUGCGAAUGGCUCAUUAAAUCAGUUAUAGUUUAUUUGAUGGUACCUUACUACAUGGAUAACUGUGGUAAUUCUAGAGCUAAUACAUGCUGAAAAGCCCCGACUUCCGGAAGGGGUGUAUUUAUUAGAUAAAAAACCAAUGGCGGGUAACCGUCUUGCGUUGAUUCAUGAUAACUGCUCGAAUCGCAUGGCCUUGCGCCGGCGAUGCUUCAU